rnacentral:rRNA from 1 species
AUCAAUAAGCGGAGGAAAAGAAACCAACAGGGAUU